CGUUCAUAGCUCAGUUGGUUAGAGCACCACCUUGACAUGGUGGGGGUCG
rnacentral:tRNA from 1 species